ACUCUCAGGAUUCACACCCACACGUGGUCCCAUGGCUCUUACAGGUGUUCGGCAGCCAGGGACAGCCACUCCUCUGAGGUGUAAGCAGUUUUCUCCCAGAGCAGGCACUGUGCUUCUCCUCUUGGGCUGUGCGGAACCCUGACCCUGGUUAUUGGCUUAAGACAACAAGGAAUGGUGCAUGAAGAUCUUGAGAAAGCCAAGAAUCAUUUUAGGAGGUGCCUAUCUCAGCCAAGAUGAACACCGAGCUUUGACGGCUUCUGUACAAAGUGGGACUUGAGAGUGGCAGCUUUCUUGGUUGGAGAACUGCUCAGGACAGGUAGCCGAUACACCUACCGAACUGCCUAGUGGGAGCUGGGGGAUCAUGUUCUCACCUGACUGGCAUUCCCAAUAGAAGUCCUCCUCUGAUCAGGCGUAUUCUUCACCAUUGAGCCACCAGGGACGCCAGCAGACGGCAGCUGGAUGAUAUGUAUGGCCCCCAGGAAGCCCUUCUGCACAUCUCUUGCUUUAUGUCCUGGAAAACUGCAUCAAACUGCAUGAAGGUGGUGUGCUGAACUCCAAGAAUGUCAGAGGCAAACAUCUUCUCAGAAAGCAGAAGGAUCUGAGCAGAAGUGCUUGGCUCCUGGUUCUGGAGAUAAGAAUAAGCACGGUAUUCACAACUCUUGCACGUAGAUACUGAAGCAUAUUUUACUGUAGUAAACAAUUCAUACGGCUCUUAGAUUUGUGUAUAUGCUGCUCAAGACACAGUAUGUGCGAAGCGUGACAUCAGCUCCUUACAUUGGUGACUAGUUGGAUGCUGAAUCAUAGAACUGAAAAUUGUUUAAUUUUUGUAAAAAUAUUAACUGUCUAAAUUUUCAAGAAAUUAAACAUUUCAGCUUUAAGUAUCUUUGAUUAAAAUAUUUUGUAUUCAUUAUUAUGAUUUAUAUUUUUGUUUAAUUUUGGUAGCAAUUUAAAAUAUUACAGAGAAGAAAUAACUUUUCACUGAACUCCUAUUGAAUUAUAAUUUUAAUUUUUUAAAUUUUUACACAUAUUUUUAUGGUAUUUUAAAAAUACAGGUACAUUCACAGUUAUUCCCUUGAAUAUACAUUUUAUUUUUUAAUUAUUAGAUAAUUAUUGUCCAUAGAAUAAUAUUUUGUAAAAAUGAGCAUGC